AAUCCUGUACCCAUAAGAACCCCAGUCUCCCCUGGCAGAGGGGUGGCAGAGAAGCAGAGCAGCUGAGUGGCAGAGCAGAGCAACAGAGAAGGAGAGAAGAGAAGAAGCAACUGGACAUCAGAGAGAAGCAGCUUGACUUCAGAGGGACGGCUUGAUAGCAGGACUUUGGAGAACAGUUUGGCUAAGGAUGGCCAAACUCCAGUCUACAUUGUGAGUAUUACCUACCUAGCCUAGCACCCUUCCUCUGGUGAAACAGUCAUGAACACAAUGGGACCAGUGGGAUGAAGCUGUUUCCUAUAUCAAGAUUUUAAGAUCACCAGUGAAAAGAAUGAAGAAAUCUAUUGUAAACUGGAUUACCUAGAAAGCAGUCUCUGGGAAAGGGAGCAGGUGCAGGAAGGCAUUAGAACUACUUGGGAUCAAUACCUGUACAGAAAUGGAAGAAAACCAGAUUAGCUAGAGGAGAAGUUCAGUUUGUAAUCAACUUUGGGGAACUCUGACAUUGAAUGGCCCUUUUGAGCAGGGGCGAUAUACCCUGUCCCCAUCAACUACUCGUUGGAUGCAGGCUGGCACUGGGAAGAAGCAAAACCCUCGUCAAGGCAGCUGUCUUCAGCCAAGAGAGGUUGACAGUAUUUGGAGGAAGUCUUUCUGUACUGAAGUGCAGUCUGGGAGGCUGAACAUACCGUCCACCAUGAGGUGUAUGUCUUCUUGGUACUAUGUUCUCUCUUCUCUCUUUUGAUCUGCUACAGUCGGGGCUCCUUUGGCUUGGGAGGGAUUUUCAGUCAUCCAGGGCUGAGAAAGGGCUUCCAGUAGUGGAACACUGGCCACGUCUUCAUGGAUGAUACAAGCUGAGGACCUGAAGGAAGAGCACUGACUAAGCCACUUUUCUGUUUCACCUGUGAAUAUAAAUAUGAGAAGUGUAGUAUCUCUAGUCUCAUCCAUGUGGUUUAAUCACCUUUCAUUUAUCCUUUCAUUUAUUUAUUAACAAGCUACAUAUUUUCAUAGGCAGUCACUCUGACUCAUAAAUACAAAUACAAAGAGCAAUAAAAUAUCAAGCCUUUAGAACUUUAGUUGCCUGAUGCUGGGUGUGGUGAGGAGUGAGCAGGAGUAAGUAGUGAACCACUGUUGGUGCAUCAAAGAGGCUAACAACUUUCAGAGGCAUUUGCAUUGUUUAGUUCCCUAGAUUGAUGGGUAAGAGAAUUUUCUAAAAGAACUGAGAUCAAAAGUAACCUUCCCCAUUUAAGUCACAGAGAUAGGCCACAGCAUUCCACAGUUAUGAGGGUAGGUUGAUUGGGGUGAGAGGAGAUGAAAAUAUCUAGAAUGCAAUGAGGUUGUAUCCCAUCUGGAAGGAAGAACCACUGAAAUUAGGAACAAGACAACGGUCAUCAUAGAGUUGAAUCUG
rnacentral:lncRNA from 1 species